CCACCAUGAGGCAUGAGCUGCUGCCUGAGUGAGAUGGAAGCCAAAGGAUGGUUUGAGCUGAGGAAUGACAUGGGACAUUACUUUCAAUAUACGUUAAUAAAUAAUUUAUAAACAGCCGCUAUAGGAUGCACAAAAUUCUGUUUAAAUUGCCAGGUUCCAAAAACAAAUUUAAUGUCUAGUUCAAUUCAUGAACUCCUCCAAAUUAUGGUUUGUACUACCCUUAUCAGAGGGCCUCCUGCUGUUAGAAGGAUGGUCCCCGGAACUCCUGGCUUGUCAAAGGCCCCAGGAAUCCCAGUUCUCUGGAGCAUGCAGUCCUCCUUGCCCGAAUCGGCAGAAAGUGUUCCCCUGGAAGUGAAGCAGGAGAAGAGAUUCCCCUGGUGUUACUAGUCAAACUACAAAAGAGCAUGGAAGUAACAAGCAGAAGACAAAGCCAGCAGAAUGACACGCUGCUGGAGCAGUCUGGAGGGACAGAUCCUGGAGGGCACGCCGGCUGGAGAACGCCAGCAGAGCAGCUGGAUGCCUGUCAGGGGCCUUGUAGGUGGAGGGAGGUGGGCUAGGACAAGAAGCUCUGAUCUGAGGCCCCUUUCAGUCCUCCUGGUGUGGCCCCACCUUCCCCGUCCCACAGGAUUCCUGCUCCCCAUGCCCGCCGGGCCACUACUGCAGCUCUGCUGGCCUCGCCAGCCCUUCUGGACUCUGCAGCACAGGUUUCUUCUGCCUCAGUGGGGCGCUCGUCCCCAACGGCUCCCUGGGAGACCAGGCCGGCGGCCCCUGCCCCACAGGACACUUCUGCCCCCCAGGCACUGCUGUCCCCAGGCCCUGCCCGGCAGGCACCCACAAUGGCCUAGCUGCCCGAGGCCACUGUGAGCCUUGUCCAGAGGGUUUCUUCUGCCUGGCAAAUACCUCCUCUGUGGUGGGGAAUGAGUGUCCAGCCGGCCAUUACUGCCCUGCCUCCACCUCCUCUGCUUCUCAGUUCCCGUGCCCCAGGGGCACCUACAAUCCACAGAGAGGGGGUGUCCAGCAGUCAGACUGCAUCGCCUGCGA